GGGUUGUGAGGUUAAGCGACUAAGCGUACACGGUGGAUGCCCUGGCAGUCAGAGGCGAUGAAGGACGUGCUAAUCUGCGAUAAGCGUCGGUAAGGUGAUAUGAACCGUUAUAACCGGCGAUUUCCGAAUGGGGAAACCCAGUGUGAUUCGUCACACUAUCAUUAACUGAAUCCAUAGGUUAAUGAGGCGAACCGGGGGAACUGAAACAUCUAAGUACCCCGAGGAAAAGAAAUCAACCGAGAUUCCCCCAGUAGCGGCGAGCGAACGGGGAGCAGCCCAGAGCCUGAAUCAGUGUGUGUGUUAGUGGAAGCGUCUGGAAAGGCGCGCGAUACAGGGUGACAGCCCCGUACACAAAAAUGCACAUACUGUGAGCUCGAUGAGUAGGGCGGGACACGUGGUAUCCUGUCUGAAUAUGGGGGGACCAUCCUCCAAGGCUAAAUACUCCUGACUGACCGAUAGUGAACCAGUACCGUGAGGGAAAGGCGAAAAGAACCCCGGCGAGGGGAGUGAAAAAGAACCUGAAACCGUGUACGUACAAGCAGUGGGAGCACGCUUAGGCGUGUGACUGCGUACCUUUUGUAUAAUGGGUCAGCGACUUAUAUUCUGUAGCAAGGUUAACCGAAUAGGGGAGCCGAAGGGAAACCGAGUCUUAACUGGGCGUUAAGUUGCAGGGUAUAGACCCGAAACCCGGUGAUCUAGCCAUGGGCAGGUUGAAGGUUGGGUAACACUAACUGGAGGACCGAACCGACUAAUGUUGAAAAAUUAGCGGAUGACUUGUGGCUGGGGGUGAAAGGCCAAUCAAACCGGGAGAUAGCUGGUUCUCCCCGAAAGCUAUUUAGGUAGCGCCUCGUGAAUUCAUCUCCGGGGGUAGAGCACUGUUUCGGCAAGGGGGUCAUCCCGACUUACCAACCCGAUGCAAACUGCGAAUACCGGAGAAUGUUAUCACGGGAGACACACGGCGGGUGCUAACGUCCGUCGUGAAGAGGGAAACAACCCAGACCGCCAGCUAAGGUCCCAAAGUCAUGGUUAAGUGGGAAACGAUGUGGGAAGGCCCAGACAGCCAGGAUGUUGGCUUAGAAGCAGCCAUCAUUUAAAGAAAGCGUAAUAGCUCACUGGUCGAGUCGGCCUGCGCGGAAGAUGUAACGGGGCUAAACCAUGCACCGAAGCUGCGGCAGCGACGCUUAUGCGUUGUUGGGUAGGGGAGCGUUCUGUAAGCCUGUGAAGGUGUGCUGUGAGGCAUGCUGGAGGUAUCAGAAGUGCGAAUGCUGACAUAAGUAACGAUAAAGCGGGUGAAAAGCCCGCUCGCCGGAAGACCAAGGGUUCCUGUCCAACGUUAAUCGGGGCAGGGUGAGUCGACCCCUAAGGCGAGGCCGAAAGGCGUAGUCGAUGGGAAACAGGUUAAUAUUCCUGUACUUGGUGUUACUGCGAAGGGGGGACGGAGAAGGCUAUGUUGGCCGGGCGACGGUUGUCCCGGUUUAAGCGUGUAGGCUGGUUUUCCAGGCAAAUCCGGAAAAUCAAGGCUGAGGCGUGAUGACGAGGCACUACGGUGCUGAAGCAACAAAUGCCCUGCUUCCAGGAAAAGCCUCUAAGCAUCAGGUAACAUCAAAUCGUACCCCAAACCGACACAGGUGGUCAGGUAGAGAAUACCAAGGCGCUUGAGAGAACUCGGGUGAAGGAACUAGGCAAAAUGGUGCCGUAACUUCGGGAGAAGGCACGCUGAUAUGUAGGUGAAGUCCCUCGCGGAUGGAGCUGAAAUCAGUCGAAGAUACCAGCUGGCUGCAACUGUUUAUUAAAAACACAGCACUGUGCAAACACGAAAGUGGACGUAUACGGUGUGACGCCUGCCCGGUGCCGGAAGGUUAAUUGAUGGGGU
rnacentral:rRNA from 1 species